AGCACCAGAGAAUGGGCAAAGAGGGAGUGUUUCUUCCUGGGUCCAAGGCUCCUCCUGGCAUAUGAGGUCCCUGUGUUGAAGACACUUCAUUUGGACAGACAAACGGAAGCACAGGGGGGCAGAGAACAAGCUUCUGAACACACAGCACAGUGGAACAGUGCUGGCUGGUAUCCAAGCUCUCUCUGCCCCAGGCUAGCCCUGGACCCUCCCCGUUCUCAGGCAGCCCUGGGUGCAGGAAGACCCUGUCUUGUCACAUCUCAUUCCAAAGCUGGGCUGUUACUGGGGAAGAAGUCACCUCCACUCACUACUCAGUGGUCUUUUUCUCUUUCUCCCAAAGGCAAAAGGCAUACCUGGGCAACUACCCAUUACUGAGGUGGCCGGCUGACCUCCCUGGGCUGAGGCACACUCUCUGGAGGAAGAUUCAGAGAGAGACAACAGGGCCGGCCUACCGGAGCCCCUCUCUGAAGGUUCUUGAGGGCUCACAAGCUCCCUGAUACCUUGACCUGCAACUCAACAAGCCAGUGUUUGGGGACCGAGCGUGCUUGCCCCCACCCUGUAGUGCCUUCUCUACUAUCUCACUCAGCACCCCACCUUUUAUUUAUUGCCCCUCCCCCAUCCCAGUCACAUCUCGAUUUGCUCGGGCCUUGGGUUGGGUUGGAAAGGCCUUCCU
rnacentral:lncRNA from 1 species